GGUCAAGAGCGCCAGCGUCAAGCCCCGGCUCGCUGGCCGGCAACCCUCCUCCGCGGCGGGGUGCUCCGGGUGACGACCAGGCCGUCGCGGAACGCGCGUCGGCAAGCGCGGACC
rnacentral:ncRNA from 2 species